rfam:Myotis davidii contig53614, whole genome shotgun sequence.
GCUGGUGUUGCUAAGUGGUUAAAGCAUUGGUUGGCCUGAACACCAAAGUGUCACGGGUUCGAUUCCCAGUCAAGAGCA